rnacentral:lncRNA from 12 species
UUUAGAUAAAGGCUGAUUUGAACACACCUGGCAGUGACUCACUCUUCUGGUUGAUCUAUGCGAGGAGAGUUGUAAAUUAUGAAGAGUUACCAUUGGGCUGAAGUUGCAUUGAAUAGAGGGAGUAUCAAGAGAGUAAAGAGGACCUCGCAGGAGGACCUGAAGGAUAGCAUUCCUGACCCUUUCAUUUUCAAAUAAAUGGUAAGGAAGAACAAUAUAACAAUUUUCCUAUAAAGUGAUGAAUGAACUUUGUUAUUGUUAAGAAAACUGUAGGUGUGGUUCAACUUAUCUGCUAUCAUGUG